UACGUAGGGUGCGAGCGUUAAUCGGAAUUACUGGGCGUAAAGCGUGCGCAGGCGGCUUCGCAAGUCAGGCGUGAAAUCCCCGGGCUUAACCUGGGAAUGGCGUCUGAAACUACGGAGCUGGAGUGUGGCAGAGGGAGGUAGAAUUCCACGUGUAGCGGUGAAAUGCGUAGAUAUGUGGAGGAAUACCGAUGGCGAAGGCAGCCUCCUGGGCCAACACUGACGCUCAGGUGCGAAAGCGUGGGGAGCAAACAGG
rnacentral:rRNA from 1 species